rnacentral:rRNA from 1 species
CCAAUAGCGUAUAUUAAAGUUGUUGCAGUUAAAAAGCUCGUAGUUGAAUUUCGGGGUUAGUAGGCUGGUCGUGCCACUGGUAUGUACUGGUCUUACUGACUUCUCCUUUCUGAAGAACUGUAAUGCCAUUAAUUUGGUGUUGCAGGGAAUCAGGACUGUUACUUUGAAAAAAUUAGAGUGUUUAAAGCAGGCUAACGCUUGAAUACAUUAGCAUGGAAAAAUGAAAUAGGACGUUCGAUCCUAUUUUGUUGGUUUCUAGGAUUGACGUAAUGAUUAAUAGGGAUAGUUGGGGGCAUUAGUAUUCAAUUGUCAGAGGUGAAAUUCUUGGAUUUAUUGAAGACUAACUACUGCGAAAGCAUUUGCCAAGGAUGUUUUCAUUAAUCAAGAACGAAAGUUAGGGGAUCGAAGACGAUCAGAUACCGUCGUAGUCUUAACCAUAGACUAUGCCGACUAGGGAUCGGAUGAUGUUAAUUUUUUAAUGACUCAUUCGGCGCCUUACG